rnacentral:rRNA from 1 species
GACGAACGCUGGCGGCGCGCUUAACACAUGCAAGUCGAACGGAAAGGCCUGCUUUCCCUUGUGGAUUGCGGGUACUCGAGUGGCGAACGGGUGAGUAACACGUGAGUGAUCUGCCCCCAACUUGGGUAUAAGCCUGGGAAACUGGGUCUAAUUCCCGAUAGGACUGCAGGGUGGUGCCUGUGGUGGAAAACGAUUUUCUAGUGGUUGGGGAUGAGCUCGCGGCCUAUCAGCUUGUUGGUGGGGUAAUGGCCUACCAAGGCGGCGACGGGUAGCCGGCCUGAGAGGGUGGACGGCCACAUUGGGACUGAGAUACGGCCCAGACUCCUACGGGAGGCAGCAGUGGGGAAUAUUGCACAAUGGGCGGAAGCCUGAUGCAGCGACGCCGCGUGGGGGAUGACGGCCUUCGGGUUGUAAACUCCUUUCGACCGCGAGGAAGCCACCUGGUAGGAAGGGUGGUGACGGUAGUGGUAGAAGAAGCACCGGCUAACUACGUG